rnacentral:rRNA from 13 species
GUGGAUUGUUUGGGGAAGGGGGAAAUGCUUGGAGCCCCUGAAGAGGUUCGACACCGAAGGAGAGGGCCAAAAAGUUCCACAAGGCGAGAGUC